rnacentral:tRNA from 1 species
UUAUUUUUAUUAAAUAAUGGAAAAAGAACUGAAUUCCUAAUCAUAAGAUAUCAGUUCGAAUCUGAUAAGAUUUA